AAACUCGCCCCAAAAAAAAAAAAUUUUUGGCAUAUGGUGUUGGGCCAGAUAUUGACUGCGAAAUUGAUGAUGAUAGUGACGAACCUGAUUAUUUAAGUUAUACUGUAAUACCAAAAAAAUUGAACCUUGUUGAAGAUAGCUCAACAUCAAAAAAUGCAACACCAUAAAAACAAUUUGUAAAACUAUAACGUUUUAAUCAUACUUUUUAUUAAUUAACCUAUUUAUU